UACGUAGGGGGCAAGCGUUGUCCGGAUUUAUUGGGCGUAAAGAGCUCGUAGGCGGUUCGACAAGUCGGAUGUGAAAUCUCCACGCUCAACGUGGAGGGGCCAUUCGAAACUGUCGUGACUUGAGUCCGGUAGGGGAGUGUGGAAUUCCCGGUGUAGCGGUGAAAUGCGCAGAUAUCGGGAGGAACACCCGUAGCGAAGGCGGCUCACUGGCCCGGUACUGACGCUGAGGUGCGAAAGCGUGGGGAGCAAACAGG
rnacentral:rRNA from 1 species